CAUCGAACGACAUUAUUCACUGUUCUUUUGCUUUAGCACAUUUGCAUACGCACGUGUCACCAUCUUUGCUAUACUUCAAAAUACAAAAUAAACGUCCGUUUCCCAUGUGCUCUUUGGUCGGUCGGCGUUGGCAUAAAUUCUGCAUUCUGCUAGCACGCGCCAUUUGCAGGAUUAAGGACCAAGACAACAACACCAGGUGCGUUUUCUUCCAGGGAGCAGUGUAGGAUACUCUCUAUUACCUAUCCGGUAUAUCCUUACAUUUUGAAGGAUCUUCGUUCGAGCUAUACGUGAUGUAUUGAGUGUGUUAACCUAUUGUGGACCUCUGUUUUGGAACGAGUUUUAAAAGUAUAUUAUUUUUUUCAAGUAAGCAGGAAACCUUGAUCUACGCCUCCCAGGUUGGUCUGGAAGAACACAUUGUCUAUAGUAGCACUAUUUCUAACUUCUGUUCCUAUACUAGCAAUAGCUUAACGGCGUAGACAACACAAAAUAAAAUCGUAUUUUUACAAAACUUUUUCCUUUACAUAAUGGAUCAAAUGCUUUCGAUCGAUGUAAAAAAGUUCUUUAUAAGGGAGAAUUAAGAACUUAAUACAAAUAAGUAGUUAUUUUUAGUAGUGCUACUAAAGGUACAAUUAGUACUAUAGGUGCAAGGAAGCUUGAACUUUAAGCGAAAAUAUUUAUUUCAAUCAUUUUUUUUAAACAAAAUCGAGUAAACCCAUGGUACUUAGAUAAAUAGCUCCUGACCAUUUUGGUGAGGCUUAAAAGAUGAUCACAAUAAUUACAAUAAUUCUCGAUAACUUA